rnacentral:rRNA from 1 species
UGAGGAAUAUUGGUCAAUGGGCGGAAGCCUGAACCAGCCAUCCCGCGUGAAGGAAGAAGGCCUUAUGGGUUGUAAACUUCUUUUCUGUUUGAAGAAUAAGCUUGUCGUGACAAGUGAUGCCGGUAGGACAGGAAUAAGCAUCGGCUAACUCCGUGCCAGCAGCCGCGGUAAUACGGAGGAUGCAAGCGUUAUCCGGAUUUAUUGGGUUUAAAGGGUGCGCAGGUGGUUUAAUAAGUCAGUGGUGAAAGUCUGCCGCUUAACGGUAGGAUUGCCAUUGAUACUGUUGGACUUGAAUAUGGAUGAGGUAGGCGGAAUGUGUAGUGUAGCGGUGAAAUGCUUAGAUAUUACACAGAACACCGAUUGCGAAGGCAGCUUACUAAUCCAUGAUUGACGCUGAGGCACGAAAGCGUGGGGA